UACGAAGGGGCUAGCGUUGCUCGGAAUCACUGGGCGUAAAGGGUGCGUAGGCGGGUCUUUAAGUCAGGGGUGAAAUCCUGGAGCUCAACUCCAGAACUGCCUUUGAUACUGAGGAUCUUGAGUUCGGGAGAGGUGAGUGGAACUGCGAGUGUAGAGGUGAAAUUCGUAGAUAUUCGCAAGAACACCAGUGGCGAAGGCGGCUCACUGGCCCGAUACUGACGCUGAGGCACGAAAGCGUGGGGAGCAACAGG
rnacentral:rRNA from 1 species